UACGUAGGGGGCAAGUGUUGUCCGGAUUUAUUGGGCGUAAAGAGCGUGUAGGCGGCCAUACAGGUCCGUUGUGAAAACUGGAGGCUUAACCUCCAGACGUCGAUGGAAACCGUAUGGCUAGAGUCCGGAAGAGGAGAGUGGAAUUCCUGGUGUAGCGGUGAAAUGCGCAGAUAUCAGGAAGAACACCCGUGGCGAAGGCGGCUCUCUGGGACGGUACUGACGCUGAGACGCGAAAGCGUGGGGAGCGAACAGG
rnacentral:rRNA from 1 species